rnacentral:rRNA from 1 species
CGCAGCCGCGGUAAUUCCAGCUCCAAUAGCGUAUAUUAAAGUUGUUGCAGUUAAAAAGCUCGUAGUUGAAUUUCGGGAUCAAUAUGUUGGUCGUGCCUCGGUACGUACUAGCUUAUUGGUUUCUCCUUUCUAAAGAACCAUGAUGUCAUUUAUUUGGUGUCGUGUGGAAUCAGGACUGUUACUUUGAAAAAAUUAGAGUGUUUAAAGCAGGCUCACGCUUGAAUACAUUAGCAUGGAAUAAUGAAAUAGGACGUUUGAUUCUAUUUUGUUGGUUUCUAGGAUCGACGUAAUGAUUAAUAGGGAUAGUUGGGGGCAUUAGUAUUCAAUUGUCAGAGGUGAAAUUCUUGGAUUUAUUGAAGACUAACUACUGCGAAAGCAUUUGCCAAGGAUGUUUUCAUUAAUCAAGGACGAAAGUUAGGGGAUCGAAGACGAUCAGAUACCGUCGUAGUCUUAACCAUAAACUAUGCCGACUAGGGAUCGGAUGAUGUUAAUUUUUAAUGACUCAUUCGGCGCCUUAACC